CGGCCGGGCACGUGUCUAGGUGGAUCACACGCGUUCGUGCAAAUCACAAGGAACAUCCAAAAGAGAAAAAUAUCGAGGCGAGCUGGGGAGUGACUUCAGAAGGAAAGGAAAAUGGAAAGUAAUAAGAGGAAAACUGAUAAGGAACUCUUGCAUGAAGUGUGGAGACUCCUGAUCAGACAACAUUUAAUCGAAGGAAACCACGAGGGAGAACUAGUCUCCCUGGCAAUAGUAGACGAUAAAGUGUAUGUUCUACCAGACAAAGGAACAGGAUAUGUAACAGAUAAAAGAGAAUUCACAGGGGAUCAAUGGAGAUGUCUGUGUUAGAAGCUGCAUUGUUGGCCGAAAAUAAGCCAAUGUAUCUACCAGGUUACGGUCCGAAGAGUCCAAUGUCAACAACAGCUGUAAUCGAGUAUAGGUCAAGGAACAUGAACAAAGACUUGGGAAACACGGAGGCGAGGGCCACAGGCGAGUCCAAGUCAAGCAAAUUGACUGGAGGCGAGACGAAUGGCGGCGAGAUAAGUGCAGGCGGG